rnacentral:lncRNA from 1 species
AGGGAAGAGAGGAAGAGGCCGCCAAACGCUUUGUCUGAGCAUAAUAAAUCUACCGCAGUCUUUUAAACAGACACAUCGGAAUCUACGAUAAAAACGUCCCAUAAUUUAUCCUUUUACCCACAGACUACGUUAUUUUUUUUAAGGAUUGGCACCUGAGCUAACAUCUGUUGUCAGUCUCCUUUUUUCCCCCUUCUUCUUCUUUCCCCCAAAGGCCCCCGGAACAUAGUUGCAUGUUCUAGUCGUAGGGCCCUUCUGGCUGUGGCACGGGGGACGCCGCCUCAGCAUGGCCUGAUGAGCGGUGCCAGGGCCGCGCCCAGGAUCCCAACCGGUGACGCCCAGGACCCCGAAGCGGAGCGCGGGAACUCGACCACUCGGCCGCCGGGCCGGCCCCCCCAGGCCACGUCUUUAAGGUGAUGAGAUGCCAGGCCCUCUUCGCUCAGGAUUAUGCACGUCUAUGGACUUCGACCCUUGGCGGGACCCCUUGCUCUGCCCGGAUGCCCCUGGGGCCCUCAGUGGGAGAUGGCCAGCCCCUUCACUGACACAGAAAACAUCUGGGGCCCAGAGAGAGAAGCAACCCCUCAAGGUCAAGGUUGGGGCUAUGGAAUGCAUCCUAGAACCUUGAAGUGAGAAGAAUACCACCAAAUCCACGUCUAAGUCAACCCUCACGGCAACCCCAGGAGGGCGAGGCCAUCAUCCCCAUUGGCAGAUGAGAAAACGGAGGCUCGGAGAGGUGAUGUCACAGAGGUCGGCAGAGGCUGGCUUUGAAGCGUCUCUGCUUUCUGCCCUUCUGCCACCCAGACUGCCUGCUUCCAGAGGGAAGGCCCUUCUCUGUCCCCUUCAUCGAUAUGUACAGACUGACCUGGUGGAUUACAGCCCUCAUUCAGCAGAUGUGACACACACACGUAGAGGCAGGUCCUGGGCUGAAGAUACAAAGAUGACGAGAAUGUGGCCCCUGACCUGAAGGGGUUAUAAUC